GGGGGGACGGAGAAGGCUAGGUGGGCCUGGCGACGGUUGUCCAGGUUCAAGUGCGUAGGCUUAAGAGUUAGGUAAAUCCGGCUCUUUUUAAGGCUGAGACACGACGUCGAGCUACUACGGUAGUGAAGUCAUUGAUGCCAUGCUUCCAGGAAAAGCCUCUAAGCUUCAGAUUGUAAGGAAUCGUACCCCAAACCGACACAGGUGGUCGGGUAGAGAAUACCAAGGCGCUUGAGAGAACUCGGGUGAAGG
rnacentral:rRNA from 1 species